UUGAAAUCGAAAAAAGAAAACUACACAGCAAUAUUGUUAAUGACAAUCAACCAGUUAAAUUACUGGAUUCGUGGAAAUGGUGCACUGUGCAUGGUUUAUAAGUACUGGUGUAAUGCGAAUUAAGAUGUUUCUAUAUAAGGUCUGCAGAACUGAAUGUUCCCAUGUUAGACACAAUCUGUGUCAACUACCGUUUCUGUUUUGGACUUUAGUUAUUUUAUAUAUACUUUAUAUAUGUACGUAUGUUAUUUUUUAUCUAUAUAUAUUUACCCUCUGUAUGUAGGUAUUUGUAUUCGUGUUUUAUUUACUAUAUAAGGGAAAGUUUGGCUGGAAUUUUAGAUUUAAAAACGUAAAAGCAAAGUUUGUUGGUGCUGUAAAGCAGAC
rnacentral:lncRNA from 1 species